GACGAACGCUGGCGGCGUGCUUAACACAUGCAAGUCGAACGGAAAGGCCCUUCGGGGUACUCGAGUGGCGAACGGGUGAGUAACACGUGGGUGAUCUGCCCUGCACUUUGGGAUAAGCCUGGGAAACUGGGUCUAAUACCGAAUAGGACCACGCGCUUCAUGGUGUGUGGUGGAAAGCUUUUGCGGUGUGGGAUGGGCCCGCGGCCUAUCAGCUUGUUGGUGGGGUAAUGGCCUACCAAGGCGACGACGGGUAGCCGGCCUGAGAGGGUGACCGGCCACACUGGGACUGAGAUACGGCCCAGGCUCCUACGGGAGGCAGCAGUGGGGAAUAUUGCACAAUGGGCGCAAGCCUGAUGCAGCGACGCCGCGUGAGGGAUGACGGCCUUCGGGUUGUAAACCUCUUUCAAUAGGGACGAAGCGCAAGUGACGGUACCUUUAGAAGAAGCACCGGCCAACUACGUG
rnacentral:rRNA from 1 species